rnacentral:rRNA from 1 species
UACGAAGGGGCUAGCGUUGCUCGGAAUCACUGGGCGUAAAGCGCACGUAGGCGGAUUGCUAAGUCAGGGGUGAAAUCCUGGAGCUCAACUCCAGAACUGCCCUUGAUACUGGCGGUCUCGAGUCCGGGAGAGGUGAGUGGAACUGCGAGUGUAGAGGUGAAAUUCGUAGAUAUUCGCAAAGAACACCAGUGGCGAAGGCGGCUCACUGGCCCGGUACUGACGCUGAGGUGGCGAAAAGCUAGGGGAGCAAACAGG